GUGGCUGCAAUGAAUAUAGGCUGCAUUUGUUAGCAAUACAGUGCAUCCCCUCUGCAGCCACAUACAUUAACUAGAUGGUUCCUGCCGACAGGGUCUGUCAAGUAAUCAGAUUUUCUGUGCGAUGGCUCCAUACACU